GACGAACGCUGGCGGCGUGCUUAACACAUGCAAGUCGAACGCUGAAGCUUGGUGCUUGCACUGGGUGGAUGAGUGGCGAACGGGUGAGUAAUACGUGAGUAACCUGCCCUUGACUCUGGGAUAAGCCUGGGAAACUGGGUCUAAUACCGGAUACGACAUGUCACCGCAUGGUGGUGUGUGGAAAGGGUUUUACUGGUUUUGGAUGGGCUCACGGCCUAUCAGCUUGUUGGUGGGGUAAUGGCUCACCAAGGCGACGACGGGUAGCCGGCCUGAGAGGGUGACCGGCCACACUGGGACUGAGACACGGCCCAGACUCCUACGGGAGGCAGCAGUGGGGAAUAUUGCACAAUGGGCGGAAGCCUGAUGCAGCGACGCCGCGUGAGGGAUGACGGCCUUCGGGUUGUAAACCUCUUUCAGCACGGAAGAAGCGAAAGUGACGGUACGUGCAGAAGAAGCGCCGGCUAACUACGUG
rnacentral:rRNA from 1 species